CAAAACGCUAUGAGAAAGUUAAGUAGCUGUUCAGCACCUGUAAGCGAGCUUCGUUAGGUGAGAGGAAGCCAGAGUUGAACAGUGAACAUCCCUUUUGAGCGACGUACCGAAAUAAAGUAACGUACGUUGGGCACUCCCAUUAUCGAGUUAGCGUAUCGUCCUUGCGACCGUACGUGAAGAGGUUAUUUUAGCGAUAAAAUAACAAAAUAAGGUGGUACAGUGCAGAAGCACCCUUAGU
rnacentral:ncRNA from 1 species